AAAGACUUAGUUUAAAAAAACAUUAACUUGUCAAGUUAAAAAAAUUAUUAGAAUUAAUAGACUUUA
rnacentral:tRNA from 2 species